GGAAUGCUGGGAGUACAGUUGCAACUGGUACAAAUGACUCUUUACUGGAAUUGGUGCUCAAAUUGAAAAUACCACAAAGGAGGAUGAGGCAGGGAAGAUUCACGCUAUGCCAAAAGUAACUUUUUUUUUUUUUUUUUAAUGGAAAGCCUUGGUUGGGAAUUCAUUCUGAUUACAUGAAACUCAUCCGAUUACUUGAUUCAGACUCAGUCAAGUCUAUACCAGGACCUGCACCUGCCAACAAGAAUGUAAGUCUGUCUACAUCACUCUCUACUACAGUGUGUCUUAAUAGCAAUAUGAUGUGAGCCACAUACGCAAUCUAUGGUUCUCCAGCAGUCACAUUACAAAAGCAAAAAGAUACAGUUUGCAAAUGGGAAGAAGACAUAGAUACUGAUAAGAAGACACCAGUUACUGGUGUGAAAGACAAUAGGUAAGGUUGUGGGGACAGAACCCUGAGAACUGGUGACCAGUGUGGACAGCACUACUCUGUUGCAUUAGCUAAUUGAGCUGGUUCAGCCACUGGAUUCCAACCUGCUAACCAGGAGAGGGAAAAUGCCCUCUCCUAAUUACAGGAUUGCCACAUACUAGCUGCAUGACCCGCUGUUUGUUAUUUCACCUGGGUGAAAAUUUCUUAUCAGUAAAAUGGGAAUAGUCAUAUAACCACCUCUCAUGCUUGUGAACAGCUAAUGAGCUCUGCAGAUGAUUUGAAACACUCUUACUUCAAUUUGAGUCGCUCCCAUUUGGGACUUCCUCAGUCUCCAACCAAAACCAGGAUGAUGGCAUCUGGUGAAAUGCAGGAAUAGUUUUAGAUGAAUUCUUCCAGUUGCAUGAUGGUUUUUCCCUAAAGUGACCACCAUGAACUAACUCUGCCCACAUGUCUGGGACCACCCAUUCCAAUCCUUGAGCAGUGCUUGCAUAUCCUGUUCCUCAUGUUGAAGAGCGAAGAAUGUUCAUUGCUUUGCAAGAUAGGGAGUAUAGAACUUUUCUGUCACACACACACAGUCUACGGAAGUUACCACGCUUUGCCCUGAAUUGUUAAUUGCUUUUGUGCACCGUGUGGCACUAGCCAUCUGGGAGAUCUCUUUAUGACUGAGCUCUCAGCUUCUUUCCCUCACAGUGGGUGCUUGUGAAGCUUUAUCUGGUCAGUUCUUACAGGAAGGACAUGCCUUAUACUCUGACAA